ensembl:snoRNA
GAGUGUGUGGUUUCUUUCUGCUGCAUUUGUUAAGUUUUCAAAUGGGCCUACUCUGUCACAUACAUUAUAUUGGAGUUGGCAAAAGUUUGAAGACAGAAAGAUCUAUCUUGAGCCUUUCCUGCAUCAGAGAUUGGCUCCCCCAUGU